CGGACGGGUGAGUAACGCGUGAGAAUCUGCCCUCAGGAGGGGGAUAACGGUUGGAAACGACCGCUAAUACCCCAUAUGCCUACUGGUGAAAUGAAUUUCGCCUGAGGAUGAGCUCGCGUCUGAUUAGCUAGUUGGUGUGGUAAUGGCUCACCAAGGCUUCGAUCAGUAGCUGGUCUGAGAGGAUGAUCAGCCACACUGGGACUGAGACACGGCCCAGACUCCUACGGGAGGCAGCAGUGGGGAAUUUUCCGCAAUGGGCGAAAGCCUGACGGAGCAACGCCGCGUGAGGGACGAAGGCCUCUGGGCUGUAAACCUCUUUUCUCAAGGAAGAAGAUAUGACGGUACUUGAGGAAUAAGCCACGGCUAAUUCCGUGCCAGCAGCCGCGGUAAUACGGGAGUGGCAAGCGUUAUCCGGAAUUAUUGGGCGUAAAGCGUCCGCAGGCGGCUUUUCAAGUCUGCUGUUAAAGCGUGGAGCCUAACUCCAUCAUGGCAGUGGAAACUGAAAGGCUUGAGUAUGGUAGGGGCAGAGGGAAUUCCCGGUGUAGCGGUGAAAUGCGUAGAUAUCGGGAAGAACACCAGUGGCGAAGGCGCUCUGCUGGGCCAUUACUGACGCUCAUGGACGAAAGCCAGGGGAGCGAAUGGGAUUAGAUACCCCAGUAGUC
rnacentral:rRNA from 1 species